AUUGAACGCUGGCGGCAGGCUUAACACAUGCAAGUCGAGCGGGGUGAUGGUGCUUGCACUAUCACUUAGCGGCGGACGGGUGAGUAAUGCUUAGGAAUCUGCCUAUUAGUGGGGGACAACAUCUCGAAAGGGAUGCUAAUACCGCAUACGUCCUACGGGAGAAAGCAGGGGAUCACUUGUGACCUUGCGCUAAUAGAUGAGCCUAAGUCGGAUUAGCUAGUUGGUGGGGUAAAGGCCUACCAAGGCGACGAUCUGUAGUGGGUCUGAGAGGAUGAUCCGCCACACUGGGACUGAGACACGGCCCAGACUCCUACGGGAGGCAGCAGUGGGGAAUAUUGGACAAUGGGGGGAACCCUGAUCCAGCCAUGCCGCGUGUGUGAAGAAGGCCUUAUGGUUGUAAAGCACUUUAAGCGAGGAGGAGGCUCUUUUGGUUAAUACCCAAGAUGAGUGGACGUUACUCGCAGAAUAAGCACCGGCUAACUCUGUGCCAGCAGCCGCGGUAC
rnacentral:rRNA from 1 species